UUCCCGAGGACACCGCUGUGCCCCUCUGCAGGAUGCAGCCCACGGCGCCACCUGGGAAGCAGAGAGCCACACUCCCUGGACGCUGGCCCUGCGGGGUGCUGGCCCUGGAGUUUGGCCUCAGGCCUCGUCCAGGGUGUUUCAUCAUAGCAGCGAAAGGAUGGGACCCAGAGUGGCACUGGACAGUGCUUUUCAGUGGCCUUGUCUAUUUGCUGACUGGAACAGUGGGGAGCAUAACUGGGUUCAGAGGACAUGGCUGGCUGAGAAAGGCCCCCAGAGAUGUCACAGCCCAGUCCCUGGGACCUGCUCCUGGGGGCGCAAAACUUACUUUGCACGCGUGACCUAUGCAAGAAUUUGAAGAGAUGACCCCGCACUAUACUGGGGUCCAGAAUCCCACCACAGGCUGCUGGAGGGAGCAGGAAGGCCUGGGAGGAAGGAGGAUGUGUGACCACGGGAGCUGGAAGGGCGUCAAGAAGGUGGCAGGGCCCAGGCCUCAGGGCCUUUGGAGCUGGACAGGCAGGAAACGGAUCCUCCCUGGCGCCUCCUGAAGGAACCAGCCCCGAGACCCCGGACUUGGGCCCAGGAGUCUUAGAGCUCUGGCAUCCAGAACUGUAAGGUUGCUGCUGUGUUUGUGGGGAUGUUUGACGGCAGCCGCAGGGAAGGAGCAGCAUGGAUGUAAGGAUGGACUGUGUCCCUCGCCUGGGCCCAGUGCUCAGGGGCGGGCAGCUGUCGUUCCUGUCGUCACCCAUUUUGCCCCUGCCGUCUCUCUGCUGGAUGCCACAGACAAUGCCCCUGCCUUCUUCCAGGCCAAGGCAAGCCUCCGUGGCCGCUGCAGCCUCUGCUUCGUAACCCACGCGCCCUGCGUCGGCCGGAGUCGCGCCUCUCAGGCUGGGAGGAGGAACGCGGCUGACUGUGGUUCAGGGCGCUCUCCGUUCCGGGGAUGUGGAGGAGGGAAAAGCCGCUGAACGACAGCAGACAAUAUCCGGUGCUGGUUUCUAUAGCAAUACUCAUGGUACCGCCGCAUCUGUGGGCAUCAGCGCUGGAGCAUGGCAGGGUAGGAGGUGGGCGUGCUGGUUGCCAUGGCGAUGGUCCUACUGGGUGAGGUAUGUCCUCCAGGUUGGGGGGGGGCUUCUGCAGGAGAGGAGGAAGGGGCCACUCUGGACCGGUGCCUCUUCAAGAUAAAUGCCCGGAAGUCUCCAACCCAGGGGUUCAGGAGCAAGGCCUCCCUAACGGGAGGUGGGGAAGCUGCCUGUCUGCAGCUGGCUUGGGAGCAUCCAGGGCUGGGCCCUGGCUGCGUGUCACCGGGGAGGGCUCUGGGAAGGAGACCAUGUCCCGUGCAUGCUCAGCCAUGCUCCACCUCGGCGUCCCCCCGGCCUGCGUCCAGUACCUGCAUUCUGGACGGGCUGGUGUCCUCUGUGUACGGACUCAUUUAGAGGUGAUGUUGUCUUACCUCCCUGGGCACCUCCCGCCCCCCAGCACCUGCUGCUGGGGUGUGGAGGCUGCCACAGAAUCGGGCAUGUGACAGAGGAAGUGUGUACUUCCCGGUGGCCCACCCAGGACGUCACGGACAUGGACACAGCCCAUCCUUUCAGUCUCGUCCACACCUGCCAAUCACCUGCACAGCCCGCUCAUGCCAGCUGCUCGGGGACACGGCACUCACCCGUCGUCUCUGUGUCUCUCCACCCGGAAAGUCCUGCUUGUCACCUCCUCUGGACAGUGUCUCCAAGAUGCCCCCAGUCCUGUUCAUCACUGUCCCCUCUGCCUCUGUGGCACCCUGCACGUGGCUCUGUGCACAGUGCUAUUCAGAGCCUGUGGUUUGCAGCCCGUGAGUCGAGACCAGAAGUGACUGAGAACUUUUCAAGCCCCCGACCUGCUCACAGAGGCACUUGGCACCAUCCGGCCAGCCACGCUGGGUGAGGGCCCGGUCUGUCCUUUCUCCUCACCGUGGCACUUGAGGGACCACUGAGCCCUGGCCUCUCGGCUUCAUCCUGUGGAUCCUGAAUCUACUCUCCAUGCAUGGAGGAUGGGUGUCUGCUGAAUGAAUUGUCGAGCGUAUGACCCAGCUCUCUGGACCAGCUCCACCUGAAUCCCGGCAGGUCUCCCACUGGGACGGGGAUAAAGACUAAACAAAGGAUAAAAGCAGCCAACGUGGCUCAGGUCCCGCUUUCCUGUACUGUUUCACAUAAUUGAGAGUUCAUGAGAAGCAAGCUUGACUUAACAACCAGGUUCAAAGCCAGCCCAGGACCCCUGAGGGCCCAGAACAAAUCCAGUGGUCCCUAAAGACUUCAGACCGCAGAAGACAGGGAUGAAUCAGAUGUGGUGGGGUGGGUAGGGCCGUUCCCCUGGGGUGCCGGGUCCCCAGCACCUGAGCCGCCACUGCCACAGAGCUGCGGUGUGGAGAGCGGGUGGCCAAGAGGCUGCAGCCAGGAAGCUUCUACAACAGUCCUGUGGCCACUCCCGUCCUGGGCCAGGCGACUCACCCGGGGUAGGGUUGUUAACCCGUCCUCGUGUUCACGGCAAUGAGGGCAGACAGGCCACUGCCCACAGAACCCUCUGGACAACUUUCCCGAGCUUCGGGCCACUCCGGGCCCCAGGCCUGCUCUUGUCAUCACUGUGCCCUGUCUGUGGCAUCCUGCGCAUGCCUCGAAGGCCCAGAUGAGCAGACGCUGCCCGCCUCGGACUUCCUCUCUUGCCGCUCUCCUCUCUCAUGCUGCUCUGGCCUCGCUGGUCCUCCUGCAUGCCAAGAUCCUGCCCCAGGGCCUUUCACCCACCACCGUGUCUGCCUGGCAAGGUCUGGCCUCAGGGUUCCAUGUGAACCUGCACCGAGGGAGGAGGAAGGCGACGGAGAGGCUGUGGAUGAGGAACGGGGACCUGGAGAGCUGGGAAGAGGGCACUACUGGCUGUGCUCCACUCCCCUGGCGGCUGACCGCCUGGCGUCCAGUCCAGCAGCAUUAGCGGUGCCCCAAGCAGGCUUCCAGCGCAGCCCCAAGUGCAGGAAACCUCCUUGUCCUUGAUGAUCCCUGUGUGUUCAUCUGAUCACGAGUUCUGUCCAGUGGCUUGGGGCGCACCGUGACCAGGGCGGGUGUGAGAGUGCCAGGCUGCCCACAAGAGGGCCUUGAAGUGCACUCAGAAUGUGCUCCAGGGACCGAGAAGGACAGGACCCUGGGAGGAGAGAGGGUGGUGGAUGCCCACGCCCCACUGCCCAGGCCCGGGGCCUGGAGGGUGGACUCUGUGGAAGGGACUCAUGGGAGCCGAAGGGCUGGUGCCAGCCGGGCAGUGUGGAGCUGGCACUGAGAAGCUGCCAGCUCCCUGCCACCGGCACCUCGGCCACUUCCUGGCCCGGCCUGAACCAGGAGUCCUGCCCAACCCCUCACGCACCUGGAAGAACGCAGCUGAGUUUCUCAUACACAGCAAAAACGACGCAGAUCACAAAGGGAACUUGGGAGUUAGGAAGAACCAGACCCUGGGCCACCCCUCCCCAGCCGCCGAGCUGUCCUGCCGCAGACCUGGCGAAGCACACACGCGUGAGCGAGUUUCCAGAGUUAGCAAAGGAGCCCAUCUGUAUCUCCAGGACAGGAAGACGACAGCGGAUGAGGUCCUCUCGAGACAGAGGGGAGUAGAGGGGAAGGCGGGGAUGAUGCGGGCCUCUAAGGCCCCCGGCAGGCGGUGGGCAGCGGGGUACAGAUGGAGCAGCCGGGCUAGAGGAAGUCAGGGUCAGCUCGGUCCCGCCUCCCGUAUGGGCCGGAUCGGCUCUGCCCAGCUGCACUGACCGCAAUGCGCGGUGCUGGCCAUGCCAGGUCCAGCUCUCAAAUGGCAGGGGAGUGGCAUGCGGCCCUGGGCUCUGGCCCAGAUGCUCACUGGAGUUCUUCUGUCCUGCCCCCGCCAUGUUCAUUUGCCCUGGGCGUCAAAGCAGAGGGCCCCAAGGGACUGCUGGCCCCAGGCCACCGGGAGAGCCCAGGUGGGGGGACCCCGGGGAAGGGGCCAAGUGCAUCCCUCAUGGGAUGGUGCUCAUGCCCGUGGGGGCCUCCCUGCUCCAGCCCUCUGCUGCUCUGUCCCCACCCACUGGGUGCCACCUCCAGAGCAGCAGGGACAGCCGGAGGUGAUGGUGUGCAAUCCCCUGUGUCAGAGUCACCAUGGGGACCGAUGGGGACCAGGGCCUGGGCCACAGUGCCGGGCUCAGCCCCCAGCCCAGCCUCUUGGGGACUUGGCUGUGCGCCCUGGGACCUGUCCUCAGGCUGCACGUCUGGGGAGGCGGCCGAGGAGGACAGACGGUGUGAGGAGGAUGCCUGCGGGGUUUCAGAGGAGCCUCCCUCCAGAGGGGCCCUCGUGAGGGCGCCACAGCAGUCCAGGGUGCCCCAGCCCUGGUCUGGGUGACGGCUGCAGGCCUUGUCCUCCUGCAGACUUCCAAACCUCAAGGCUGGGCCCCUGCAGCUAGCGGAUGGGGACAGCAUGGAAGGGGGACACUCAGGGCAGUGGCCCUUCACCAAACCCUAGGGAAGCAUUUCACCCUCUGGUUAUACAGGCUCACACUGCAAGCCACCAGCCCAACCCUGACUGACUGACUCAGCUGACUCUUGGCCCCCACCACGAACCCCAGCUUUCCACGUGGCCCAUCUGUGGCUCUUCCCUGUGUCCCCCACAGAACCGCUGAUCUGACCCACAGUGCAGUGUCCGGACUACACGCUGCCCUCCCCACCCACUCAGCCGCUGAGCUGUUCCUCCCGGGACCCUGCGCCUCUCCUCCAGCCCUCUUUUCUCAUCCGGUCAGUGAAGACACUGAACACACUGACCUCAUGGGGUCAUUGAGAGAGAGGCAAUAGGUCUUGCAGAGUACUGAGGUGCAAAGCACUGUGGGAAGCCAGUGUAACAAACAUUACUAUUAACACAUGUGCGGGGAACUUCCUGUACAAUGAAUGAAUGUUUAAUCAUAAAAAUAUUUAAAAUAAAACAAAACCCCAAAAGCUCAAGGAGCACUGAGGUAAAGAUUUAAAAGGUGGGUUCUGCAGGUAUGCACUCUGGGAGGCUGAGGCAGGAGGAUUGAAAGUAAAUAAAGUUUAGGAAUAAGUUCUGGGGUUAUUCUGCACAACACAGAGGCCCCUCCCUGUGUGAGGAUGGCUCAGGAUGGCCCCGGAAGUUUCUGCAAAGGCAGAAAUGUGCUGUCCCCACACUGUCCUGCAGCAUGGCUCUGGAGCAGGUGACAGGAGCUGCGGGUCCCACUGGAGCAGAAGCUGCAGUUGCAUGUGAACCUGCCGAUGGCUAAGCAGCCCAGCCAGCGCAGGGUCUCACUGUGUAGCCCAGGCUGGCCUUGAACUCAUGGUAACCCUCCUGCCUCAGCCUCCAGGAGUACGCCACCAUGUCCGGAUGAAAGCUGCUCUGGAAGCUGAGCUCUUGCCUUGAUGCAGCCUGAGAGUGGAGGUGGCUGUAAGCUAUUAAGGAAGCCGAGACAAAAGCACCAUCACCAUCACUGGUGAUUCUCAGCCUGUCACAGAAGCCACGGCCUACGGGGGUCCCAGGUGGCGCCGUCAGAGUUUAACCCCGCAGUGGGCGUUUUCAGGAGCAGCCCGACGGGAGCUGAGUUUUGGGGCUUUCAGUGUAUUCACAGUAUUAACAAAGAGUGAAGCAGAACAGAGAUGCCAGGAAACGGAAGAGAGGCUUCUCCAGAACGGAAGGCGAUGGGAGCCAGAGUUUAGGGAAAGGCAUGAAAAACGAAUUCAGAGGCGUCAGGGAAAAGGGCCGGCUCCCCACGGGCACCGCAAGCACCGCGUACUAGAAAUGUGGACAGACAGAGAAUUAGAGAAAAAAAUAUAUAUCGACAUGUUUGAGCCCCAGCGGUGGGCUCUGUGCUUAUUUCCCAUUUUAAAGAUAACGGAAGGCAGGCUCGGAGCGGGUGAGUAACUUGUUCGGGGUCCUGCGGCUAGUGAGCAUCAGAGCCAGAUUUCAACCCAGGUGUUCUGGCUCCAGGAUGAAAGUAUCCAAACACAUGGCUGAAAUACCACACUGUAUCCCAUAGAUGGAUGCAACGUUACUCAUUAGUUAAAUCCAGGGCUGCAAUUAAUGUUCCAGCAGGUGCUUAGCUUUCCAAGUAGCAUUUUUUCCAAAGUAGCAGUUCAGAGAUGCACACCGGUGACCCCAGCAUUCUGAGAGGCUGGGGCAAGAGGACUGCAAAUUCCAGCCCCGCCUGGGCAAGUUAGUAGCUCAGUGAGCCUCGUCUCAAAAUAAAAAAUGAGCACGGGCUGGGGACACGGCUCAGGGAGAAGCUCUGAGUUCCACUCCCAGUGCUGAAGAAAAACAGGUCAGGGUUCACACGGGUGCACAGCAGAUGUACGUCCCGUCCACGGCCCCAACGCCUCUGCUGCACACACUCAGGGCACGGCUCCUCCCUGCCCGGCUCCUCCUGUGCUAUGCUGGGCUUGGUGCUCCCCAUCACACUUCUUUCGGGAGGGGUCCCCUGUUCUCCAACUUCUGUCCCCUCAAGGACCCUCGACUCUCCUCCUGAACAUCCAGACCUGCUAAAUGCCCUUGGCCUCAGUCUCCUGUCGUUUUUUUUACAGGGUUUCACAACAUAGUUUAGGCUGGACUUGAACUCACGAUGUGGCCUUGAACUUGCCGCACUUCUCCUGCCUCAGCCUCUGGAAAGCUGGGAUAACAGUCAUGCCGCUGCGCCCUGCUUUGGUUUGCUAUCGGGAAAUAGGGAGAGUCAGGGCUGGCUGGUGUGGGAGAGGGGCUGUGAGGACAGGCUCGGGUUGCAAGGCUUGUGCAAGGCAGGGCUUGCAUGUCACAGGCAUCAGUAUCAAGGAGAGGCCAGCCUGGGCCAGCAGUGGACAGCAGCCAGGUGGCAGAAUGCCCAGCGGUGAAACCCGCUUCCAGUUCUGCAAGGCUUCACUGAGCACUUAAUGUGCACCUCGCACUGCGCCAGGGCGGCCCUUGGCGCCAUCUCAGACGGUCGGGAGGGGUCCUCAGGCGACCUCCGAGGUGAGUCCUGAAGGGAGGAGCCAGGCGCUGGUCCGAGGGGACAGAGUGUUCCAAGGAGGGGCCCAGAGCACCGCCUUGAGAAUCCUCUGCCAGCGCACCUUGCCGCUGGCCCCCAGCCCGGGGAUCCUGCACGGGGAGCAGUGAGCUUUCCACUUCCAUUCCCACCUCAGUCGACACAGCUCCCGGAAACCGUGCCUUCCAGGGUGCUCCCCCAUGCAAUACUACAAAGCUUGGGUGCCAUCCAGUCCUCACCUCGUGACCAAACCCCAGUCCUUCUGCACCAGUGUAGGGCUGAGACCGGAAGCAGGCACCCCACACAGGCCGCGGGCUUGUGCUCGGGUGCGGGGCCUCAGUGUGAGGUCUUCUUAGAGGCUCUGGUGCUUAUCACACUUUAUUUAAUAAGUGCAUUCACGUCCUACCCUGCGAAUGGUCAUGAGGUUGCAGAAAGCACUGCAGGGAUUUGAGAUGCAGUCAUUCCUCAGGGCCUUUGCCAGGGGACAGCAGGACAGCCCAGGGCUCGCACCAGGGGUUCAUGAUCCAGUCCCCAGCUGGGACUGUGCGGCCACGGGUGAGUCCAUUGCCUGUGGUUUGGCUGAGCCUGGGGAAAAGCUUGUGAAACACGGUCACCUCACUUCACGUAAACACACCGCCAUUAAAUCUGCACGCUCAACUUAAUUCAAAUACUCAGUUCUAGUUCAGUGUUUUGAAAAUGAAGGUUACGAGUCCCAAGAGAGCCAGCAAACUUUAACAAAUAGUAUUUCCAGGCUGUGGACCUUGAAGUCCCUGUGACAGUGAAUCAGCUGCCACAGCAGAGGGCCACCGGCGGCUGUGCGCUGGUGCCCGCUUACCUGGGAGAGGAGGUGGAGGCCCGGCCAUCGCCCCUCUCUGCACUCUGCCCACGGACUGUGGCCUGCACUUGAAACUGCAGAACACCCUAGGCGGGUGCAGCAUCACACACAUUACCAGCCAAUCACAAAUUCACUUCCUUGGUCGUCACAUCCGUCAUCAAUGAAGAGGACACACAGGACUGGACACUCUGGGAGCCGGAGGAGCCGCCGGAAGCCGCCCUUGGGCACCGUUCACCUCUGACGUCCUGUUCAGUGUGCGGGACAGACUCGGUCCCUUCACACCUCAACUCUUCCGCGGCUCAGACUGUUCCGUUUCACACCGUCAGCUUCUCUGACAGCUGGUGACAGGCGAUCGGUGGCACCGUCACAUUACGGGUGACUGCACAUCUUCGAGCUCACCCUGCCUAGACCGACUGGGGCCUCCUGACAGAGCUGGGCAUUGAGAGGACAGCUGGCCGGAGUGCGUCCUGGACUGACAGCUGGGCGGCAGUGCGGGGGCUGUGCACACCGCUACAGAGUGUGCCAAGCAGGGGUGCUGGAAGCCGGGACAUUCACAGCAGGGACCUGUGUCCCCUUGUCCCUCCACUCCGCUGAGGCCCUGGCAUCAGGUUGCCAUCAGGGAGCAGGGUGCCAGCUCUCCAGUGACUGAACUCCUUGUGCUUGGUCUUGGGCUCUCUAGACAUAGACUCCAUUCUGAUGCACCGAGGUCCCAGUGUCAUCGGCGCAGUGAUGACUGCCUUAGGCAGGCUCCACCCACUGGGCAGCAAGCCAGGCCCCGAGAGGAGCGCCCACACAUGAAGCCUGGCCGUGGGUUUUCACCUGGUGUUGGGUUUGUAGCUGGGAUGAUUUCACCACCCAGGGGACAGCUGGUGACACUGGGAGACAUUUCUGGCUGUCACACCCAGAAGGCUGCUGGGGCGUCCAGUGCAUCACUCUUAGGGACGCUGCGAAGAACCUGCAGUGCACAGGGUAAGGACUUUCACCCCAAAUGCCCCGCUUACAGAUGACACAGCAGCAGGUCAAGGGUGAGGGGCUGGCAGGCGAGGUGAGCUUCAUCUCUGUCUCGUAUGUCUUUACCCGAGGGACCUGCGUCCCUCUCCCAGAGGCCCCCAAGCUGCCUGCAGGCACAGUGGACUCAGAGGCACUCAAUUCGGUGCCAGGCAGGCAUUAACAAAGCUCCCAAGCCCACGGCACUAAGUCCACUUCUGGGAACCGGUCCCCGUGUCAGAACUCAAAAUUCAGCACAAUCUUCGAGCCCGAGGAUUUACAUCCAAACCUUAUUUAAAGAAUCCAAAAUGUGACAAACGAACGCUCACAAGUAAGAAGGCAUGGUUAAGGAAACUCUAAUACCUGCACUCGGGACAAUAAAAGCUUGUGUGGGCAUUAAAA